GCGCAUGGCCGCGCGCCCGCACUUUGCAAAUGAUUCAACGGGUCGCUUUCGUGCGCACAUCGCAUUCUCUGUGUGUUCCUGCGUUGGUGGCUCAGCUUCGUUUUGGUGCUUUCAGACAUUCACGUACUAAUCACAGACAUGGGAAGACUAUAAGACGUCAAGAUGAAAGGCUCCUAGCAGCUCUCAGUGUUCCCAACGAAACUGGCAGAAUGGCAGUGGCUGAUUACAAGCUGCCUUUGGUGAACAAAAAAAACGUGACCACAUUAGAAUCCGAGCAGAGCUCCAAUCCUGCAUUCUGAUGACACCUUACACAACGGCUCUCUCUUAUGGGGAGCUGGUACUUAAGAAGCUUUACUGCGGGCAUCCUACCCACUAUUUUCAGACUGUUUUGGUGGAAACUUAAGCUAGACUCUAGGCCAGCGGCGGAAAAAGAGCUUCAGGGACGUGCAUGUCUACAGUGUCAUGGAAGAUGCAUCAAAGGAUACUGGGCCUGCCGCCAGCUGACAUGCCUUUCUUCCUCCUUAGUUCUGUUAAGAUAUGGGUUCAGUUUUUCUAGACAUGCAAUCCAUAAUAUAUGCAGUCUAGUCAAUCAGUGCACGGCAUUACAUGCCAUUCAUUUCCUAUGUAUAUAUUUAGUCAGAAUCAAAGCAGGACAAGCACAUGUACAUAAUUUGCAAGAAUAAAAUUUUGUUUUUUGCUAAU
rnacentral:lncRNA from 1 species